rnacentral:rRNA from 1 species
UACGAAGGGGGCUAGCGUUGUUCGGAAUUACUGGGCGUAAAGCGCACGUAGGCGGAUAUUUAAGUCAGGGGUGAAAUCCCGGGGCUCAACCCCGGAUCUGCCUUUGAUACUGGGUAUCUCGAGUCCGAGAGAGGUGAGUGGAAUUCCGAGUGUAGAGGUGAAAUUCGUAGAUAUUCGGAGGAACACCAGUGGCGAAGGCGGCUCACUGGCUCGGUACUGACGCUGAGGAGCGAAAGCGUGGGGAGCAAACAGG